UCGCCGUACCUGCACCUCAUGCCUCGAAGCGUAACACGGGCUUUUCAUUUUUUUUUUGUUUGCUGUUUUCCGCCCCCAACACUUAAAAACAAAACCGUGGGCUCGGCUUCAGACAAAAUAUUUCCUACAACCGCUGAUACUUGCAAUGCAGUUCCCUUGAAAUGUUCUCUUUCUCUGCCUGCCGCGAGUUGCCUCCAAGGAGUUUCAAUAAGGGAAUAUCCCAGCCAUUGAGCAGCACGGUUUAGCCAAGCACUCCCGGAUAAUUCAGAGGAACAGAGGAGCACAAGCAGCAAAUAAUGUGAACAUUACAGGCAGCCAAGCCGUUCCUCAUUCCACGCCUAAUAUUGAACCCGGGGUUUAAGAUCCAGCCCACGUGCUGACAUUAAGUUUUCGGCACUCGGUCUCAAGUGGUCUCAACGCUACCCUCAGAACUACGUUGGUAAAGUAAUUAGUUUUACCAAAUGAACAAAAACAUGCCAUGAAAGUUUUGCUGCAAGGAUCGGCAAAAUCUCAAGUGCAAAUAAAGCAUCUUUCGCAAGAGAGAAAGAAAUGGCAAACUGCCAACCUGACCAAGAUGAUAACCUUACCUCCUGUCAGCUGAUAAUGCAGCAAAUAUUUCAGGUUGGUGCGGCAACCUGGAAGAAUAGGAGCACAUGACGAGCUGACCGAUGGAAGAGACCUGUUGUGCGCGAUGGUGAAACAGCUGAAGCCAUCGGACACACGGCAGAUAUCUACUUCCAAGACUGCGAUGACGGGUGAUGAGCUGAAGAUCCGAUGACUGUGUCGGAGGCGAUGCCGUCAACAUAAGGGACUGACGAGAUUCACCCUGAAUACCGAUUCCGGGAGUGCCAGAGCGGUUCCGAAGAUCGAACAAAGACUCUGACACUUAAUGACUUUAAUCAUUGUAUACUUGUAUGCAAUGACUACUGCAAUGUGCAAUGUUGUACUUGUGAACCUGUACUUGUGAACAAUAAAGGCCUAGCGCACCACGCCCCCCGCGCCUCUAAGCCAGGGC